AUCUCAUAAAUUCAAUUUCUCCAUCUAGUGGCCUUCCCCUCACCCAGGCCCUCCCCACCUCCCUCCUGGACCACAACAGCAGCUCUAAAAGGCUUCCCAGCUCUGGCUAUUUCACAGUCCAGAGGCACCCACAUGCUGAUCCCCGCAAGGCCUCUUCAGGAUGGGGACUCUAGCCACUCAAAUUCUUCCAUUGCUCCCCAGUAACUUAAGUUUAAAUCAUUUAGUCACGUGCCAUUCAAGGCCCUCUGGGUUCUGGCCUCCAAGGACCUUUGCUACCUGAUCUUCUCCUUAGUGGUUUACACACAUCAUUGCCCAGCAACUACAAAUCGAUUCCUGCCCACUCUGCACCCCGGCAUUUCCCAUCCCUACCUAUGCCUUUGCUCAUGUUUCCUUCAACGAGGAUACUCCAAGACCUCAAGUCCAACAUUACCUUUCUUUCAAUGUCUGGCUCAAAGGCUCUUUAUCCAUGAAGCAUUUCUUGAUCAUCCCAGCCACAGAUAAACACACAACCUUUCUUUUCUAUGAACUUGUGGUAUGUUUAUCUCUCUACCUUUUAUACAUUUCUCUUUCUCUCUGCAUUUAUUCUUUGUUUUUCUUUUUUCUAAGACAUCUUGUUAUAGCAUCUCUGCAUUUAUUCUAAUUUUAUCUGUGCACAGAACCUUAGCUUCAAGCUCCUUGAAGGGUAGCAUCGUGUCCCAGCCUACACUGUCACACUCAGGAGAAGCACCCAGUAGAUGGUGGCUCUGUAUCUACCUACAGAGUGCCACUGAGGAGCACAGGCCUUCAGGUCUGUAGCCCAUCAGCUGAGCCUUCGCAUCAGCUCCUAGAACAGUGCCUGGCAUAGAGCAACACCCAGAAAUCAUUGUUAAAUGAAAUUAUCCACAAGGGAGUCACCUAGUGUCUACAUGAUAGAAAUUCUUUCCCUGUAGAAUAUAACAUGAAAGGGGGUGUGAAGAAGCCUUCUCUCUCCCCAUACUUCCAGAUGCAAGAAAGCUUCACGUUAACUGUCUCCCACAAGCUAUAUAGCUACUCUCGGCAAUAAACAUGACAUAUAAUACUUUGGUGCAUUUGGCGUGUCAAAAAUAUUCAAUUUUAACAUGUCAGAAAGAAUCAUUUUUCAAAAACAGUCUCCUUUGGAGAAGAGAGUUAUUCAAACAAUAUCCAAAACCUUUUUGGAUCUCACAUUUUGAAGAGGUCCAACUUCCGUUGGUUAAAAAAAAAAGUCUAUUAUAUAAUGAAAGCCUUACAACUGACUGAGAAUUAUAGAAUUUCAGAAAUAAAUCCCAGUCUGUUCAUCCUUAAAAUAAGAAGCUAUUUUUCAGGGCUUUCAUGUCCAAAAUUAUAUUAUGUAAGCCACUUCAUAAAUCAUGUACACAACAAUUCUCAUUUUUCCAUUAAAUCUCUAUUUUGAAAUUUAAUUCACUCAUCCAUUUUUUCAGAGAUGGGAUCUUGUUCUGUCGCUCAGGCUAGAGUGCAGUGGUGUGAUCAUAGCUCACUAUAGCCUUCAACUCCAGGGCUCAAGGGAUCCUCCUGCCUCAGCCUCCCAAGUAGCUAGGACUAUAGAUGCAUGCCACCAUGUGUGGCUUAUUUUUUUAUUUUAUUUUAUUUUUUUGUAGAGAUGGGGAUCUAUGUUGCCCAGGCUGGUCUUGAACUCCUGGCCUCAAGUGAUCCUCCCACCUCAGCCUCCUAAAGUGCUGGGAUCACAGGUAUGAGCCACCGUGCCCUGUCUUUUUAUUUUGACCCCCUCUUGGCUCUAACAGCACACGUGUACCUCUGUUACAGGACAUCAGUCUACAGUGCUACCUCUUUUUAUAGUCAUUUAUCUCACUAACCUGUGUCUUUCUGAAAUGCCAGACCCAUGUUCACUUUUGAAUCUACAGUACCUUCUACUGAAAUGUAGUAGCUGGCUCAGUCCAUGUUUAUAACAUGAAACAAUGACUUGAAUCAGUGGUUUGAUCACCUACCAUAUUCAUGAGACCUAACUAUUGGCUCCCUCCUACCCUCAAAGGACAGAGAUUUCCCACCGCUGUGGAUAGUCAAAAGAAGAUAGAAAGUUCUUAAGUGCUUCAUUUAAUGUGUUUAUUUAGUCCCCUUGAAAUAAAUACUGAUGGGUAAAACCAAAUUAAAUCACAUGCUAAAAAGGAUAGCCAGUCAAGUACCUAGCUGAGUAUCUAAAAUUAGUACACACACACACCAAAAACAAAAACAAAAGCACGGAAAAAGCCAAAAAGCCCUGCCUAUUCAGCCCUGUGUACCCUUCACUGACUAGGAAGUGACCCACUUUUCAGGUAUCAUCCAAUCAUACAAACUGGGCAUCAGUGUCGUCAGAAGCCCACACAUGUUCAUCUCAAGACUCAACAACAUAAACACGUCUAUGUUUCCAAGAAAGCUCGUUGCAAGUUGGUGACAAAUUUGGAAAAAAAAAAAAAAAAAAAAGCUCUAAAUAAAAUUACAGACAUGACUUUCACAUUUGAGCUCUCCAAAUAUAUUGUUAUGGGUUUAAGAAAUACCACACUUCUGUGUCACAAAGAGAGUUCUAAAAACCAGUAUGUUCUGAGAAGUCCAUACCUGCUACUUGGGAACUAAACAAGGCUUGUAACAACUGAAUCUCUUUAGAAGACUGUUAACACCUUGCUUAAGUGUGUAAAAAUUGAAAAUAAACAUAACUGAAGAUUUGAGAAUUUUUCAGUUAUAACACAGUUCUUAUGAAAGAUGGAAAAUAUUUCAUAUUCUCUUAUAUAUUUAUAAAAACAGCAGAUAUUUCUUCUAUUUACAGAGGUGGAAACGAAGGCAAGCAAAUGCAGUCAUUUUGUUGGAGGACUAUUCUACAUUUCCAAAGCAAUGAAGACAUGACCCCAAACUAAACUCUCCUGCAACGUAUUCUUACAAGAAAAAGGCUAAAAGCCUUAUUGCUUAACAAAAGCUAAACAAUGUGAAUUAUUUCAAUAACUGGUCCAAAAAGCUGCAGCAGGCCACUGAGUAACUUGGACAUCUGUUGCCAUGCUUGUUCAUGCUUUCCCCUGAGAUGACAUAUAUGUAUCAUCAUUAAUAGGUGUCCUUGAUUUUGAUAAGAACAAUAUUCCUGUACAUCCCCACAUCUCCUGUACAUAGCCAUGUGCUGCCAUCUUCUGAUUAUGCCCAGUGGAGUGUAAACAUUUUUUCAUGAAAAAGCAAAAUCAAUAAAAGUAAAACUCCCCA
ensembl:lncRNA novel transcript